AGGGGAACCGGAACAGAGAGGAAUAAAUUGCUCCUUGCCCCAGUGAAGGUAUGAACUUUAUGAGGAUGGAAUAGCAAGUACACAAGGCUCGGCAGUGGAGAAGGACUAUCUUGUGUUUUGACAAUCUCCAGAGACCUAUAGAGAGGGAGAGGACAGAAUGCUGAGUUCCACAGGAGUAGUCAUUCCAGAAGGGAGACCCUGAAGCCUGGAUCCCUUGGCUUUGGAGCCUCUUGCCCUCCAUAGCUGCACUGGCUGGCCUAGGCCCUAGCGGAUGGAAGACAUCAAGUGAUCUUCCCUGACACCGCCACUGCCGGGAGACAGCAGAGAUGGAUGGCCCAGGUCUCCUCCUGCCUGGAGCAGUAUCUUUCAGUUCUGUUUCCUUGGGUGUUAUUUCUUCACAUGUGAAUAAAAGUCUCUGUAGGAAAGUA